UCAUGUUGCUGGUCAUCUUUU
rnacentral:piRNA from 1 species